rnacentral:lncRNA from 1 species
UCCCAAACCUGAAAAGAUUCACAAACAUCCAUCCAAACAUUCAUCAAACAUCCAUCCAAACAUUCAACAAAACAUUCACAAAAUAUCAAUCAAGCUUUUAAAUUAUUUAGAUCUAGGAGAGGUUGCAGAAGUGUUUGAGAUGGGUGAAGCAGCUGCUGAAUUGGCUCAUGUGACUGAUACAGUAGCAGGUGCGUUGUCUCCUGUGCCUGGUCCGUUUGCUGUUGUGGUUGUAGGUGUUGUGGCUGGUGCUAGAGGAGGUGGAGUGGCGGCAGUUGCCAUAUACUCUAAAAAUCCAGGAUCAAUGGUUCUCAAGUAGGAGACUAGCAUCUCCAAGCUUAUUAUACGGCUUUGAUCUUGUUCUCGCUCCUCAUCACGCCUUGCAUUUUCUUGGUCAACUUUAGCGAGCUUAACACGAGCAGGUUCAAG